GUGGGGAAUAUUGCGCAAUGGGGGAAACCCUGACGCAGCAACGCCGCGUGAGUGAGGAAGGACUUCGGUCUGUAAAGCUCUGUUAAUGUGGAAAAAUGGUAGUUGGUCUAAUAGGCCGAUUAUUUGAUGGUACACAUAGAGGAAGCACCGGCUAACUUCGUGCCAGCAGCCGCGGUAAUACGAAGGGUGCAAGCGUUGUUCGGAUUUAUUGGGCGUAAAGCGCGCGUAGGCGGACCUGCAAGUCAGAUGUGAAAUCUCGGGGCUCAACCCCGAAACUGCGUCUGAAACUACAGGUCUAGAAUCUUGGAGGGGGAAGGGGAAUAUCGCAUGUAGGGGUAAAAUCCGUAGAUAUGCGAUGGAACACCAGAGGCGAAGGCGCCUUCCUGGACAAGUAUUGACGCUGAGGCGCGAAAGCGUGGGGAUCAAACAGGAUUAGAAACCCUGGUAGUCC
rnacentral:rRNA from 1 species